AGGAAAAAGUACAUCAGUGAAGUGGUUGGUGUAGUAAGAUGCUUAAAACGUACUUGUGAGUAUACAAAGAUACUUCAUUGUAUAAUUGUUAUACUGAGUCGUUAAUCUGGUCAUCUUCUUUUUUUUUACAAAAGUGCACCUUGCCGUCCACUUGUAGCUGUUUGUCCACUAGAGGAAUUUGCCAACUGGCGUAAAUAAACCAAGUGCCGUUUUCCAGAAUAGGAUUCGGCACCCAGUAUUAAUUUAUAUAACUCCGUCAUAAAUUAUAAUAUAAUUGAUAUAAAACCCAGUUAUAAUUUAUAUUAAACCCGGUAUUAAGCUGAAUAAAAUGACCCAGCCAUAAUGUAUAAUAACCCAGUGGUAGAAUUUUAAAUUAAUUUAAAAUUAAACUUCAACACACACAACUGCUUGAUUAACGGCCAACCCCCAAAAGCUCCAAGUCGCAGCUGUGCUGGACACAUCAGCUGUCUGGGCAACGCAAACAUAUGAGCUGUUGCUAGCUGCAGCCGCUCAUUGAGCACAGGAGAAUUGCUUCCCAGCAGGUGGUGUUUCUACUGCAAAACACCUGCGUCCGGCAGCCUUGCGAUCUCCGUUGGCUAUUUGCUCCGCACUUGUGGUGGCAUCGAUGCCGAGUAUCUGCGUCACCCAGGAGGAAGGCGAACGGCAGCUUAUUUUUUUUUGUUUGUUUAUUAUUGUUAAUUUACGUUAUGUUGUUUAACUAUGCAUCUAUAAGUGAUAGUCCAUCAAUGUUGUAAGUGUAAUAUGAUGUGGCGAGAAAGUUGAACCAACAACUUUUCGGGGUCCUUCAUAAUACAAGUACCACUGUACUAUUGUAUAAAAUAGAAAUGGCAAUCAUUUAAGAAGGCAUGUAAGGCAACACCUAUAGGCAAAAUAUCUUUGUAAAAUUGAAUUUAGUUAUAAAAAUUAAUGUUUUUGUAUUGCCUGAAAAGCAUGUAAAACCAUACUUGCAUACAUUUGUAUGUAUGCAUGUUUGUUUUGAUCGACGCUACCGGUCAUAGCAAGCAGCUUUCAUGCAGGCGCAAAAGCUCGCAAUUAUUAUUAUUCCCCACAGAUACACCACAGACAGGCACCAACACAAGGAAAGAUCUUUCUGCGUGGGAGUCUCUAAUGUAUGUAAGUCUGUUUCACUCUAACUAAUUAAUAAUCUAUGAGCUAGAGCUAAAGCUUCCCUUUUGCUGGUGGUCCAUCUGACCAUAGCGCUGCUACAGCUGUCUGCAGUCCCAGCGGUCAAUGACCUUGCGAG